UCCUUCAUAGCUCAGUCCUCAAAGAAUCUGCCUGCAAUGCAGAAGACCCAGGUUCAAUCCCUGGAUCAGGAA
rnacentral:tRNA from 1 species